GGGGAUAGAGAACUUGACAUAAUCUCUGACCAAGUUUUAUUAUGAAAAUCUAGAAACUUCAUGAAAAUAAAAGUAGUUUAUGCAUUUAAAAAUAAUUCAAGGAUGAUUUUUUUUUUUUUUUUGAAAUGAAAUAUGGAAACUUGGAGAUUGAAGAAGAAGUGAAGAGAGGAUGUACAUAGGUAAGUUAAUAGCUAUGAAAAAUU
rnacentral:lncRNA from 1 species